rnacentral:rRNA from 1 species
AUUGAACGCUGGCGGCAGGCUUAACACAUGCAAGUCGAACGAGUGGCGGACGGGUGCGUAAUGCUUGGGAAUCUGGCUUAUGGAGGGGGAUAACGACGGGAAACUGUCGCUAAUACCGCGUACCAUAGGAUGAGCCCAAGUGGGAUUAGGUAGUUGGUGGGGUAAAGGCCUACCAAGCCGACAAUCUCUAGCUGGUCUGAGAGGAUGACCAGCCACAGCGGUACUGUGACACGGCCCGGACUCCAACGGGAGGCAGCAGUGGGGAAUAUUGCGAAAUGGGGGCAACCUGACGCAGCCAUGCCGCGUGAAUGAAGAAGGCCGUCGGGUUGUAAAGUUCUUUCAGUGAGGAGGCGUUAAUCGCAGAAGAAGCACCGGCUAACUCCGUGCCAGCAGCCGCGGUAAUUC